AGAAGGAUAGCUGGGUUAAAUGGUGGUUCCAUUUCCAAUUUUCCAAGAAAUCUCUAUACUGCUUUCCAUAAUAUUGGUUGCACCAUUUUGCAGUCCCACCAGCAAU
rnacentral:pre_miRNA from 1 species